CCUACGGGGGGCUGCAGUGGGGAAUAUUGGACAAUGGGGGCAACCCUGAUCCAGCCAUGCCGCGUGUGUGAAGAAGGCCCUCGGGUUGUAAAGCACUUUCAGUGAGGAAGAACGCCUGGUGGUUAAUACCCAUCAGGAAAGACAUCACUCACAGAAGAAGCACCGGCUAACUCCGUGCCAGCAGCCGCGGUAAUACGGAGGGUGCGAGCGUUAAUCGGAAUUACUGGGCGUAAAGCGCGCGUAGGUGGCUUGAUAAGCCGGUUGUGAAAGCCCCGGGCUCAACCUGGGAACGGCAUCCGGAACUGUCAAGCUAGAGUGCAGGAGAGGAAGGUAGAAUUCCCGGUGUAGCGGUGAAAUGCGUAGAGAUCGGGAGGAAUACCAGUGGCGAAGGCGGCCUUCUGGACUGACACUGACACUGAGGUGCGAAAGCGUGGGUAGCAAUCAGGAUUAGAUACCCUAGUAGUC
rnacentral:rRNA from 1 species